rnacentral:lncRNA from 1 species
CAGGAUGUUCCGCCUUCCCUGGGUUCCAGGGACCCGGCCCGGCAGCCUCAGGUGCACCGGCUGGGCCCGCGUUCACCGCGAUUCCGGGCUUCCAGGGAGCAGCCGGGCCGCCCAGCCCAUCCGGGUGUCCUGGAGCCUCCCCCGGUCAGAGCGUUACCCGGGAGAGAGGAAUUCGGUCUGCGUUGGGACAGACUGCUCAAAUAUCUCGGGGAGGAGAAUUUUGUCUUUUGCGGGAGAGGAAUUAGGAGCCCUUUGAAGAAGGGAUUUCCUUCCCUGAAAAUUAAGGCUUGGGACAGGCUGGGAGACGUCCGUUGGCGGCGCGCCUGCCCGCGUUUCCCACCCCGCGCACCCACCGAGCCUCGCCCCGCCCUGCCGCCUCGGCCCUCUCCUCCCGCUGCGCUCCAGGACCUGAAAGGCCGGGGAGCCCCGGGAUCUCGUGGACAGCCCAGACAGGCCCGGAGAGGGAACCCAGGAAUCAAUGGCAGCAAACGGAAGCAAAAGAUGCUCGCUCUCAGGACCUCAGAAUGUGACUGUAUGUGGACACUGGACCAAAUUUAAAAAGAGAGGAAAGACCACAGGAGGACACAGCAAGGAGGCAGCCAUCUCUAAGCCAAGGAGAGAGGCCUCAGAAGAAGCCAAACCUGCUGACACCUUGAUCCUGGACCUCCAGCCUCCAGAACUGUGAGAAAAUAAAUUCCUGAUGUUUAAGCUGCCCAGUCUGUGGUGUUUUAUCAUGGCAGCCCUAGUUGACUAACACACAGGUCAUAAUCAAGUUCUCU